CAACCUCUGACGAUAGACGUGUAUGUUG
rfam:Elizabethkingia anophelis NTHP1, complete genome.